GAUGAACGCUGGCGGCGUGCCUAAUACAUGCAAGUCGAGCGAACAGACGAGGAGCUUGCUCCUCUGACGUUAGCGGCGGACGGGUGAGUAACACGUGGAUAACCUACCUAUAAGACUGGGAUAACUUCGGGAAACCGGAGCUAAUACCGGAUAAUAUAUUGAACCGCAUGGUUCAAUAGUGAAAGACGGUUUUGCUGUCACUUAUAGAUGGAUCCGUGCCGCAUUAGCUAGUUGGUAAGGUAACGGCUUACCAAGGCAACGAUGCGUAGCCGACCUGAGAGGGUGAUCGGCCACACUGGAACUGAGACACGGUCCAGACUCCUACGGGAGGCAGCAGUAGGGAAUCUUCCGCAAUAGGCGAAAGCCUGACGGAGCAACGCCGCGUGAGUGAUGAAGGUCUUCGGAUCGUAAAACUCUGUUAUUAGGGAAGAACAAAUGUGUAAGUAACUAUGCACGUCUUGACGGUACCUAAUCAGAAAGCCACGGCUAACUACGUG
rnacentral:rRNA from 1 species